AUGCUUUAAGGGGUGUCAAACUGUCCAUCAAGCUGUCACCUGACCAGUCGUUCCCAUGGUUCUUUUAGACUUCCAGUAUGAUAAAUUGAAAGGGACUAUUAUCUGUCUGUUGUGAAGAGGAACUGUUUGGGCUUUGAUAAGAUAUCACUACUCCCAGCGGCUUCUGGCAUGUCAGAGCUCCACAGCAAGUUUUAUAAUUUUGACAGUCCUUGGCGAUCAAUGAAGUUGACUGGACUCCAUUACUUUUCCAAACAGAAAUACCUUGCAGUCCAAUGAAGGAAGUAGUGGCUAGAGGGGAAAGUACCAGAAUAUUCAAUACGUUUGUCUUAGGUCCCAAAGGAAACAAACAAAUGUGUUCCCUGUUAUUCUUUCUCUCACAAUAAAAAUUUUAGACCAUUUCUAGAAAAAAGCAAUUUUGCAUUUGUAUUUUUGUGUUACUUCUUUCAGUUUGUCUCCCUUUUGGUAAGUG
rnacentral:lncRNA from 1 species